rnacentral:rRNA from 1 species
UACGAACCGUGCGACCGUUGUUCGGAAUCACUGGGCGUAAAGCGCACGUAGGCGGGCGUGUCAGUCAGGGGUGAAAUCCCGGAGCUCAACUCCGGAACUGCCUCUGAUACAGCACGUCUUGAGUUCGAGAGAGGUGGGUGGAAUUCCUAGUGUAGAGGUGAAAUUCGUAGAUAUUAGGAAGAACACCGGUGGCGAAGGCGGCCCACUGGCUCGAUACUGACGCUGAGGUGCGAAAGCGUGGGGAGCAAACAGG